AGAGUUUGAUCCUGGCUCAGAAUCAACGCUGGCGGCGUGCCUCAGACAUGCAAGUCGAACGCGAAAGCUCCCUUCGGGGAGCAAGUAGAGUGGCGCACGGGUGAGUAACACGUAGGUAAUCUACCUUUGGAUGGGGAAUAACACCGAGAAAUCGGUGCUAAUACCGCAUAAUGCAGCGGCACCUAAUGGUGACAGUUGUUAAAGCGGGGGAUCGCAAGACCUCGCGUCUAAAGAGGAGCCUGCGGCGGAUUAGCUAGUUGGUAAGGUAACGGCUUACCAAGGCGAUGAUCCGUAGCCGGCCUGAGAGGGCGGUCGGCCACACUGACACUGACAUACGGGUCAGACUCCUACGGGAGGCAGCAGUCGGGAAUUUUGGGCAAUGGGCGAAAGCCUGACCCAGCAACGCCGCGUGAAGGAUGAAAUCCCUCGGGAUGUAAACUUCGCAAGAACGGGAAGAAUAAGUUGGUGUGAACAUCACCAGCGAUGACGGUACCGUUGAAGUCCCCGAC
rnacentral:rRNA from 1 species